rnacentral:rRNA from 1 species
CGAACGGGUGAGUAACGCGUGGACGACCUACCCCGGCGCGGGGGAUACCCGCCAGAAAUGGCGGCUAAUACCGCGUACGGUCCCCUCGGUGUAGCCGUGGGGAAGAAAGCAGCGAUGCGCGCUGGGAGGGGUCUGCGUCCGAUUAGCUAGUUGGCGGGGUGACGGCCCACCAAGGCGGUGAUCGGUAGCGGGUCUGAGAGGAUGGCCAGCCACAUUGGGACUGAGAUACGGCCCAG